rnacentral:rRNA from 1 species
AACACAUGCAAGUCGAGGGGUAGAAUUUCUUCGGAAAUUUGAGACCGGCGCACGGGUGCGUAACGCGUAUGCAAUCUACCCUUUACUGGAGAAUAGCCCGGAGAAAUUCGGAUUAAUGCUCCAUAUGCUCGUAGGAUCUCCUGAUCCAGCGAGGAAAGCUCCGGCGGUAAAGGAUGAGCAUGCGUCCCAUUAGCUUGUUGGUGAGGUAACGGCUCACCAAGGCGACGAUGGGUAGGGGGCCUGAGAGGGCGAUCCCCCACACUGGUACUGAGACACGGACCAGACUCCUACGGGAGGCAGCAGUGAGGAAUAUUGGGCAAUGGAGGCAACUCUGACCCAGCCAUGCCGCGUGCAGGAAGACGGUCCUCUGGAUUGUAAACUGCUUUUAUUAGGGAAUAAACCCUCCUACGUGUAGGAGGCUGAAGGUACCUGAUGAAUAAGCAUCGGCUAACUCCGUGCCAGCAGCCGCGGUAAUACGGAGGAUGCAAGCGUUAUCCGGAUUUAUUGGGUUUAAAGGGUCCGUAGGCGGGUAUUUAAGUCAGUGGUGAAAGCCCACAGCUCAACUGUGGAACUGCCAUUGAUACUGGAUGUCUUGAGUAUAGUAGAAGUAGGCGGAAUAGGGCAUGUAGCGGUGAAAUGCAUAGAUAUGCCCUAGAACACCGAUUGCGAAGGCAGCUUACUAUGUUAUAACUGACGCUGAGGGACGAAAGCGUGGGGAGCAAACAGGAUUAGAUACCCUGGUAGUCCACGCCGUAAACGAUGAUUACUCGCUGCUGGCGAUAUACAGUCAGUGGCCAAGCGAAAGCAUAAGUAAUCCACC